GUUCCUUGGAACAGGACGCCACAGAGGGUGAGAGCCCCGUACGGACGGACGCCUGGCCUAUACCAAGCUCCUUCGACGAAUCGAGUAGUUUGGGAAUGCUGCUCAAAAUGGGAGGUAAAUUUCUUCUAAAGCUAAAUACCGGCCAGAAACCGAUAGCGCACAAGUAGAGUGAUCGAAAGAUGAAAAGCACUUUGAAAAGAAGGUUAAAAAGUACGUGAAAUUGUUGAAAGGGAAGCGCCUGUGACCAGACUUGCGCCCCGUGGACCACCCGGCGUUCUCGCCGGUGCACUCCGCGGGGCGCAGGCCAGCAUCGGUUUUCCUAGGGGGACAAAGGCCGCGGGAACGUAACUCCUUCGGGAGUGUUAUAGCCCGCGGCGGCAUGCCCCUGGGGGGACCGAGGACCGCGCUUCGGCAAGGAUGCUGGCGUAAUGGUCACCAGCGACCCGUCUU
rnacentral:rRNA from 1 species